rnacentral:rRNA from 1 species
CCUACGGGAGGCAGCAGUGGGGAAUAUUGCACAAUGGGGGAAACCCUGAUGCAGCGACGCCGCGUGCGUGAAGAAGUAUUUCGGUAUGUAAAGCUCUAUCAGCAGGGAAGAAAUAGCGACCUUUGGGUCGCCAGACGGUACCUGAUUACGAAGCCCCGGCUAACUACGUUCCAGCAGCCGCGGUAAUCCGUCGGGGGCAAGCGUUAUCCGGAUUUAUUGGGUUUAAAGGGUGCGUAGGCGGAAUGUCAAGUCAGCGGUACAAUCGAGGGGCUCAACCUCGCUCCGCCGUUGAAACUGGCGUUCUUGAGUGGGCGAGAGGUAUGCGGAAUGCGUGGUGUAGCGGUGAAAUGCAUAGAUAUCACGCAGAACUCCGAUUGCGAAGGCAGCAUACCGGCGCCCAACUGACGCUGAAGCACGAAAGCGUGGGUAUCGAACAGGAUUAGAUACCCGGGUAGUC